UACGUAGGGUGCAAGCGUUAAUCGGAAUUACUGGGCGUAAAGCGUGCGCAGGCGGUCAUGCAAGACAGAUGUGAAAUCCCCGGGCUCAACCUGGGAAUGGCGAUGAAGACUGCACGGCUAGAGUGCGGCAGAGGGGGAUGGAAUUCCGCGUGUAGCAGUGAAAUGCGUAGAUAUGCGGAGGAGCACCGAUGGCGAAGGCAAUCCCCUGGGCCUGCACUGACGCUCAUGCACGAAAGCGUGGGGAGCAAACAGG
rnacentral:rRNA from 1 species